AUGGGUCGCGGCAAGGUGCAGCUGAAGCGGAUAGAGAACAAGAUAAAUCGGCAGGUGACCUUCUCCAAGCGCCGCAACGGGCUCCUGAAGAAGGCGCACGAGAUCUCCGUCCUCUGUGACGCGGAGGUCGCCGUCAUCGUCUUCUCCCCCAAAGGCAAGCUCUAUGAGUACGCCACCGACUCCAGCAUGGACAAAAUUCUUGAACGUUAUGAGCGCUACUCUUAUGCUGAAAAGGCUCUUAUUUCAGCUGAAUCUGAAAGUGAGGGAAAUUGGUGCCACGAAUACAGGAAACUUAAGGCGAAGAUUGAGACCAUACAAAAAUGUCACAAGCACCUCAUGGGAGAGGAUCUGGAUUCUCUGAAUCUCAAAGAACUCCAACAACUGGAGCAGCAGCUGGAGAGUUCACUGAAGCACAUCAGAUCGAGAAAGAGCCAUCUUAUGAUGGAGUCCAUUUCUGAGCUACAGAAGAAGGAGAGGUCACUGCAGGAGGAGAACAAGGCCCUACAGAAGGAACUGGUGGAGAGGCAGAAGGCGGCGGCCAGCAGGCAGCAGCAGCAGCAACAACAACAACAGAUGCAGUGGGAGCACCAAACCCAGACCCAUACCCAAAACCAACCCCAAGCCCAGACCAGCUCAUCAUCUUCCAGUUUCAUGAUGAGGGAUCAGCAGGCCCAUGCCCCUCAACAGAACAUUUGCUACCCGCCAGUGACGAUGGGUGGGGAGGCGGCAGCGGCGGCAGCAGCAGCGCCGGGGCAGCAGGCUCAGCUUCGCAUUGGAGGCCUGCCUCCAUGGAUGCUUAGCCACCUCAACGCUUGA
rnacentral:rRNA from 1 species